UACGUAGGGCGCAAGCGUUGUCCGGAAUUAUUGGGCGUAAAGAGCUCGUAGGCGGUCUGUUACGUCCGCUGUGAAAACCCAGGGCUUAACCCUGGGCUUGCAGUGGAUACGGGUAGACUAGAGGCAGGUAGGGGAGAAUGGAAUUCCCGGUGUAGCGGUGAAAUGCGCAGGUAUCGGGAGGAACACCGGUGGCGAAGGCGGUUCUCUGGGCCUGACCUGACGCUGAGGAGCGAAAGCGUGGGGAGCGAACAGG
rnacentral:rRNA from 1 species